rnacentral:lncRNA from 10 species
ACAGUUGGGGUGCUGCGCUAGGAACCCCACCUCCGGGAGAAAGGCACCACGAGGUCAUCUGUUUACUCUGGGAUUAGCGGCUCCCCGUGGGAGUUCUUUUCCUACGAGAUGAAAAGAAAGCGGACAAUCUGUCAGGUAAACAGGCCGCAUUGUUCCCAGCCAUGUCGGGGGCCCCUUUGUGGGCCGGGCCUUUGAGGUCGGUUGCUCCCUUGCACAGGGAAAGAGCUUACUUAAACGGAAUGGAACGGAACGGGAGGCCCCGGCUGGUGGGCAGGUCGCCUGCUGCUGAUACAGGAAGGGACAAAGGGCUCGGACGAUUCCGGUCUUUCCUUAGCUGCUCUCCUUGCAAGCUCUUUCCUCCCCAUGGGUCUCUUGAUGAGUCCAACAAGACGGGCAUGGAGCCCGAUCUCACAGAUGGGGAAGCUGAGGCCAGCGGCAGCUUCCCCCAGCACAGAAGAGAGCUCCUGGCAUUCCAGCAGGGGGUGACUGGAAGAAAACCAGGGACCUGGUCUAACCACCUCACUCUUCAGAUGGGGAAUAGCUGGAGAUACAGGAAAUGGCAGAGUACGAUUUCUGCACUGGAGGUUUCCCCAGGUGCCCCUGCUGGUUGGUGGGGAACACAGGAGCCACGACCAUCCCCACGAGUUGGCUGUCAGUUUUAUGGAUUCCCAGAAUAUUUAACAGCUGAGUGGAUGGCACUGGUCAAGGCCGGCCUGUUCCCUCCCACAUCUACCCACAAGGUAUCUUCCUGGGAAGCAGGGAAGACAGUGUAGGCCCUGCCCCGCCAGUGCAUGAGUGUCUGGGAGUCAGGACUCCUGUGUUUGGGUGGCCCUGACUCCAGUUUGCUCUGUGGCCCCAGGCAAGCCACUCACCCUCUCUGGGCCAUCCAUCAAACAAGAGAUAAGAUGCUCUCCAGGGGCUAGCCCUUCCUUCGGACCGUGAGAAAAAUCUAGGGAGGGCACAGGCAUCCAUCCAUGAGGACAGGAUGGAGGAGGGACUACCUAAACCCCUGUCCAUCUCUGACCCCCAAGAGGCCUGUGAGGCAGUGGGGGCAGCGCCUGGCCCAGCCACCAUCCUCUAGGCAGGGUGCUGCCGUGGGAAGAGAGCACUGUGGUGAGGUGGUGAGACCGCAUGCCCCGGGUCACCCUGACCGGUCCAAUUGCCUGUCACUCACCAGAGGCCCAAUCUUGGGCAAGUGACUCAGCCUCUUGGUGUGCGAAAUGGCCCCCAUGAGGCCUCCUCAGCCUGGGGGGCUCCAUGGCAGAAGGGUUCCAAGAAGGCAGGAGCUGGAGCUGUUCUUGCCGCUGCUGGGAGGUCCUGUCCACCCUCUAGCCUCCCUCUCCCUGAUCCCCCACCACUGCCCAUUCCCAGUAAGGCACCUAUUCUCUUUGCCACCCUGACACCAAGUCACUGUUCAGCUUGUGGGCAACGGAGCCGGAAGCAUGGAAAAAUCUCAUGCUGCUCCCAAAGCCAAGGGAGAGCUCAAAGAAGGCUGGUGGAAAAAGGCCCAGAGCUGUGGCCGGACAGAGUAGGCCCCGAACAACCACAGAGCCGCCUUGACAGAAGCCAGGGCACGGUCCUGAGAUGAGCCUCAUCCCUGGAGGGCAGCAAUGGACCAUACACGUGUCUAAGCCCCCAUCACCAGCCGGGGCCCCAGUGACUCAGAGCCUGCUCUUCCUGAACCCACUCGGCAGGAAGAAAACUGAAGGCCCAAGAGCCCCAGCCACACUGUGACCUGGAGGUGACCUGGAGGGAGACAGGGUGACAGCACCAAGCUCAGCCUUUCCUCCGAGGCUUCGCAGGACUGAAUGAAGGCAAACUUCCCAACACCCCAAGCCAUGGGAUUGUCCUUCCUGGGGCCCUGACUGAGCUGUGACGGGCUGUGUGGCCCUGGGUGAGUUACUUGCCUUCCCUGAGGCUCAUCUCAGCACAUAUAAUAGAAAAUGGAGACAAAAGGAUGCCCUUUGCAUGGGUUUUGGGAAAGAUUAAGUCACAUGUUUAUAAAAGUGCCUGGC